rnacentral:rRNA from 1 species
UCCGGUUGAUCCUGCCGGAGGCUACUGCUAUUGGAGUUCGAUUAAGCCAUGCGAGUCUAAGGGAUACUUGUAUCCCUGGCAUAAUGCUCAGUAACACGUGGAUAAUCUACCCUCAGGUGGGGCAUAAACCCGGGAAACUGGGGCCAAUUCCCCAUAGAUACAGAUGGCUGGAAUGCUUCUGUGUUCAAAGCUCCGGCGCCUGAGGAUGAGUCUGCGGCCUAUCAGGUUGUAGUCAGGGUCAUGACCUGACUAGCCAGCGACGGGUACGGGGUGUGAGAGCACUUGCCCGGAGAUGGUUUCUGAGACACGAAACCAGGCCCUACGGGGCGCAGCAGGCGCGAAAACUUCGCAAUGCGGGAAACCGUGACGAGGGAACUCCAAGUGUCUAUGCAUUGCAUAGACUGUUUUUUAGCCUAAAUAGCUAUUAGAGUAAGGGGUGGGAAAGACCGGUGCCAGCCGCCGCGGUAACACCGGCACCUCGAGUGGUAGCCACUAUUAUUGGGCCUAAAGCGUUCGUAGCCGGUUUGGUAAAUUCUUGGGUAAAUCGUACCGCUUAACGGUGCGGAUUCCGGGGACACUACCAGACUUGAGACCGGGGGAGAUCAGAGGUACUUGCGGGGGAGCGGUGAAAUGUUGUAAUCCCGCAGGGACCACCAGUGGCGAAGGCGUCUGAUCAGAACGGCUCUGACGGUGAGGAACGAAACCCUGGGGCGCAAACGGGAUUAGAUACCCCGGUAGUCCAGGGCGUAAACGCUGCUGACUUGGUGUUGGAGAUCCCAUGAGGAUGUCCAGUGCUGGCGCGAAGGUAUUAAGUCAGCCGCCUGGGGAGUACGGUCGCAAGACUGAAACUUAAAGGAAUUGGCGGGGGAGCACUGCAACGUGUGGAGCGUGCGGUUUAAUUGGAUUCAACGCCGGG